rnacentral:rRNA from 1 species
CCUACGGGAGGCUGCAGUGAGGAAUAUUGGUCAAUGGCCGUAAGGCUGAACCAGCCAAGUCGCGUGAAUGAAGAAGGAUCUCUGGUUUGUAAACUUCUUUUAUAGGGGAAUAAAGGUAUCCAUGUGUGGAUAUUUGCAUGUACCCUACGCAUAAGCAUCGGCUAACUCCGUGCCAGCAGCCGCGGUAAUACGGAGGAUGCGAGCGGUAUCCGGAUUUAUUGGGUGUAAAGGGUGCGUAGGUUGUUUGUUAAGUCAGCGGUGAAAGUUUGUGGCUCAACCAGAGAAUUGCCGUUGAAACUGGAAGACUUGAGUGUGUUAGAGGGAGGCGGAAUGCGUGGUGUAGCGGUGAAAUGCAUAGAGAUCACGCAGAACACCGAUUGCGAAGGCAGCUUACUAGACCAUAACUGACACUGAAGCACGAAAGCGUGGGGAUCAAACAGGAUUAGAUACCCCAGUAGUC